rnacentral:rRNA from 1 species
CUACGGGGCGCUCCAGUGGGGAAUAUUGGACAAUGGGGGAAACCCUGAUCCAGCAAUGCCGCGUGUGUGAAGAAGGCCUGAGGGUUGUAAAGCACUUUCAAGUGGGAGGAAAAAGCUUGGGUUAAUACCUCGAGUGUUGACAUUACCACUAGAAGAAGCACCGGCUAACUCCGUGCCAGCAGCCGCGGUAAUACGGAGGGUGCGAGCGUUAAUCGGAAUUACUGCGCGUAAAGCGUGCGUAGGCGGUGAUUUAAGUCAGAUGUGAAAGCCCCGGGCUUAACCUGGGAACUGCAUUUGAGACUGGAUGACUAGAGUUUAGGAGAGGAGAGUGGAAUUUCAGGUGUAGCGGUGAAAUGCGUAGAGAUCUGAAGGAACACCAGUGGCGAAGGCGGCUCUCUGGCCUAAAACUGACGCUGAGGUACGAAAGCGUGGGUAGCAAACAGGAUUAGAUACCCUAGUAGUC